GGAAGUAAAAAAGUCGUAACAAGGUCUCCGUUGGUGAACCAGCGGAGGGAUCAUUACCGAGUUUACAACUCCCAAACCCCUGUGAACAUACCUAUACGUUGCCUCGGCGGAUCAGCCCGCGCCCCGUAAAACGGGACGGCCCGCCCGAGGACCCUAAACUCUGUUUUUAGUGGAACUUCUGAGUAAAACAAACAAAUAAAUCAAAACUUUCAACAACGGAUCUCUUGGUUCUGGCAUCGAUGAAGAACGCAGCAAAAUGCGAUAAGUAAUGUGAAUUGCAGAAUUCAGUGAAUCAUCGAAUCUUUGAACGCACAUUGCGCCCGCCAGUAUUCUGGCGGGCAUGCCUGUUCGAGCGUCAUUUCAACCCUCAAGCUCAGCUUGGUGUUGGGACUCGCGGUAACCCGCGUUCCCCAAAUCGAUUGGCGGUCACGUCGAGCUUCCAUAGCGUAGUAAUCAUACACCUCGUUACUGGUAAUCGUCGCGGCCUACGCCUGUAAAACCCUCAACUUGUGAUAUCUGUCCGCGAUGCACGCUGGAGCCCUCCAC
rnacentral:rRNA from 1 species